rnacentral:rRNA from 1 species
UACGGGGGGGGCAAGCGUUGUUCGGAAUUACUGGGCGUAAAGGGCUCGUAGGUGGCCAACUAAGUCAGACGUGAAAUCCCUCGGCUUAACCGGGGAACUGCGUCUGAUACUGGAUGGCUUGAGUUCGGGAGAGGGAUGCGGAAUUCCAGGUGUAGCGGUGAAAUGCGUAGAUAUCGUUUGGAACGCCAAAGGUGAAAACAGACAGCUGGGAGUGUGCUGACGCUGAGACACGAAAGCCAGGGGAGCGAACGGG